UACGUAGGGUGCGAGCGUUGUCCGGAAUUAUUGGGCGUAAAGAGCUCGUAGGCGGUCUGUCGCGUCUGCUGUGAAAUCCCGAGGCUCAACCUCGGGCCUGCAGUGGGUACGGGCAGACUAGAGUGCGGUAGGGGAGAUUGGAAUUCCUGGUGUAGCGGUGGAAUACGCAGAUAUCAGGAGGAACACCGAUGGCGAAGGCAGAUCUCUGGGCCGUAACUGACGCUGAGGAGCGAAAGCGUGGGGAGCGAACAGG
rnacentral:rRNA from 1 species